rnacentral:rRNA from 1 species
GUGCCAGCAGCCGCGGUAAUACAGAGGGUGCAAGCGUUAAUCGGAAUUACUGGGCGUAAAGGGUGCGUAGGUGGUUUGUUAAGUCAGGCGUGAAAUCCUCGGGCUCAACCUGGGAACUGCGCUUGAUACUGACAGACUCGAGUGUGGUAGAGGAUAGUGGAAUUCCCGGUGUAGCGGUGAAAUGCGUAGAUAUCGGGAGGAACAUCAGUGGCGAAGGCGGCUAUCUGGACUAACACUGACACUGAGGCACGAAAGCGUGGGUAGCAAACAGGAUUAGAUACCCUGGUAGUCCACGCCCUAAACGAUGGGUACUAGACGUCGGGAAGCUUGUCUUCUUGGUGUCGCAGCUAACGCAAUAAGUACCCCGCCUGGGGAGUACGGUCGCAAGAUUAAA